UACGUAGGUGGCAAGCGUUGUCCGGAGUUAUUGGGCGUAAAGCGCGCGCAGGCGGUCCUUUAAGUCUGAUGUGAAAGCCCACGGCUCAACCGUGGAGGGUCAUUGGAAACUGGGGGACUUGAGUGCAGGAGAGAAGAGUGGAAUUCCACGUGUAGCGGUGAAAUGCGCAGAUAUCGGGAAGAACACCCGUGGCGAAGGCGGCUCUCUGGGACGGUACUGACGCUGAGACGCGAAAGCGUGGGGAGCGAACAGG
rnacentral:rRNA from 1 species